rnacentral:siRNA from 1 species
UGGCAAUAUGCAAUGGUGGACUCU